CGUAGGGUGCAAGCGUUGUCCGGAAUUAUUGGGCGUAAAGAGCUCGUAGGCGGUUUGUCGCGUCGAAUGUGAAAACCCGGGGCUCAACCCCGGGCCUGCAUUCGAUACGGGCAGACUAGAGUUCGGUAGGGGAGUCUGGAAUUCCUGGUGUAGCGGUGAAAUGCGCAGAUAUCAGGAGGAACACCGGUGGCGAAGGCGGGACUCUGGGCCGAUACUGACGCUGAGGAGCGAAAGCGUGGGGAGCGAACAGG
rnacentral:rRNA from 1 species